UGAGCAACCUGCCCUUAGCUCUGGGAUAACCCCGGGAAACCGGGGCUAAUACCGGAUAUGAGUCCGAGCGGCAUCACGCGGACUGGAAAGUUUUUCGGCUAAGGAUGGGCUCGCGGCCUAUCAGCUUGUUGGUGGGGUAAUGGCCUACCAAGGCGACGACUGGUAGCCGGCCUGAGAGGGUGACCGGCCACACUGGGACUGAGACACGGCCCAGACUCCUACGGGAGGCA
rnacentral:rRNA from 1 species